rnacentral:rRNA from 1 species
UACAGGGGGUGCAAGCGUUGCUCGGAAUUAUUGGGCGUAAAGGGCGCGUAGGCGGUGCGGUAAGUCUGUAGUGAAAUCUCUGGGCUCAACUCAGAGUCUGCUGCAGAAACUGCCGUGCUUGAGUGUGGGAGAGGUGAGUGGAAUUCCCGGUGUAGCGGUGAAAUGCGUAGAUUUCGGGAGGAACACCUGUGGCGAAAGCGGCUCACUGGACCACAACUGACGCUGAGGCGCGAAAGCUAGGGGAGCAAACAGG